rnacentral:rRNA from 1 species
AAGGCCCUUCGGGGUACUCGAGCGGCGAACGGGUGAGUAACACGUGAGCAACCUGCCCCAGGCUUUGGGAUAACCCCGGGAAACCGGGGCUAAUACCGAAUAUUACCUUGCGCCGCAUGGUGUUGGGUGGAAAGUUUUUCGGCUUGGGAUGGGCUCGCGGCCUAUCAGCUUGUUGGUGGGGUGAUGGCCUACCAAGGCGACGACGGGUAGCCGGCCUGAGAGGGCGACCGGCCACACUGGGACUGAGACACGGCCCAGACUCCUACGGGAGGCAGCAGUGGGGAAUAUUGCACAAUGGGCGGAAGCCUGAUGCAGCGACGCCGCGUGAGGGAUGACGGCCUUCGGGUUGUAAACCUCUUUCAGCAGGGACGAAGCGUAAGUGACGGUACCUGCAGAAGAAGCGCCGGCCAACUACGUGCCAGCAGCCGCGGUAAGACGUAGGGCGCGAGCGUUGUCCGGAUUUAUUGGGCGUAAAGAGCUCGUAGGCGGCUUGUCGCGUCGACUGUGAAAACCCGCAGCUCAACUGCGGGCCUGCAGUCGAUACGGGCAGGCUAGAGUUCGGUAGGGGAGACUGGAAUUCCUGGUGUAGCGGUGAAAUGCGCAGAUAUCAGGAGGAACACCGGUGGCGAAGGCGGGUCUCUGGGCCGAUACUGACGCUGAGGAGCGAAAGCGUGGGGAG